rnacentral:rRNA from 1 species
UACAGAGGGUGCGAGCGUUAAUCGGAAUUACUGGGCGUAAAGCGUGCGUAGACGGUUAUUUAAGUCGGGUGUGAAAGCCCCGGGCUCAACCUGGGAACUGCGUCCGAUACUGGAUGGCUUGAAUUCGGGAGAGGGAUGCAGAAUUCCAGGUGUAGCGGUGAAAUGCGUAGAUAUCUGGAGGAAUACCGGUGGCGAAGGCGGCAUCCUGGACCGACAUUUGACGCUGAUGAGCGAAAGCUAGGGGAGCAAACGGGG